rnacentral:rRNA from 1 species
UAUGCUUAGUUAUAAACAUUGAUAUUAAUAUACAAGUAAUAUUCGCCUGGGUACUACAAGCAAAGCUUGAAACCCAAAGGACUUGGCGGUAUCUUAGACCUCCUAGAGGAGCCUGUUCUAGAACUGAUAAUACUCGUUAAACCUCACCACCUCUUGUUAGUGUCCGCUUGUAUACCUCCGUCGUCAGCUCACCCUGUGAAGGUUUUAUAGUGAGCGUAAUGGGUGUGUUCCCAAAACGUCAGGUCGAGGUGCAGUGUAUGAGGUGGCAAGAAAUUGGCUACAUUUUCUAGAUUAGGAAAUAUGAAUAUUGUUGUGAAAUAUAACUCUUGAAGGUGGAUUUAGCAAUAAGAAGGGAGUAGCGUGCCCUUUUGAAGUUGGCUCUGAGAUGUGC